rnacentral:lncRNA from 1 species
CAAACCAAUCAAACAAUGAGAAUAGAAUUCCUUCAACAAGAACAACAUAUAAAAUAUUAUUUUUUUAAACAAAAAUUAAGACUAAAUGCCGAUUCCAAAUUCAAACUAUAAUGAAUUUAAUCACAUACAUAAGACAUAGCAAAAGGAAUUGAGAAAUUAACGAGAAAAUACUUUUGAUUAAUUCUGUUGGAGUCGAUUACAAUAGAAGAAGAUCCGGCGAUGAAAUUUAAAGGAAAAAACAGUUGCUGAAGAUCCAAAUUCGACAAGAAAGCAAUAAAGUAAGAAACCAGAUCAGGCAACGCGAACACGAACACCUCGACUGGAGAACAAAUCUCCAGCCCCCAACAAUUCUUCAAUCGAAUUCCAUGACAAAAAAUCUAAAACAGAAACUGAAAUUAAUUUUUUUGUUCGUUUUAUGGUACUUCUGGACGCGAGAAAUAUAAAAAUAAAGAUGGAAGAAUCAGAAGAAAAUCUCAAGAACCCUAGAACCCUAAUUUGUUCAAAUUUGAAAUUUCUCCCUCUCUUUUUCCUCUAUCUUUUUCUCCCCUAAAAUUCUGUUCAAAACUUCAAACAUAUAGUUCUCUCUCGAAACUUCUAUCCUUCUUCUCCAAGAAAGCCCCCAAAAGCUCGAAUAUACCCUCAAAUCAAUUUCCAAAUCCCCCUUUCACAAAUAAAAAUCAGAAAAAUAGAGAGUUUGGAUAAUAAUCUUCAUUCAAUGGUUCUCAUAUCCCUGAAAUUUAUUCAAGGUUCUCAGAUUUGUUUCAAAUCGAACGUAAAAGAAAGGAAAAUGCGUGAAUCUAAUGGCUAUGAUGAGGCUUGUAUGGAGUGUGUGAUGUGAAAUAAGGAGAGGAGAGGAGAGGAGAGGGAGGACCAUGAGUGAACUUGCCGGGUUUGGGGCGGGAAGAGGGCUGCGGCGGUUUGGUUUCAAGAAGAGAUAAGGUUAGGUUAUGACAAAAAUAAUUUUUAUAUGGAGUGAAG